UACGUAGGUGGCAAGCGUUGUCCGGAAUCAUUGGGCGUAAAGCGCGUGUAGGCGGCUCGAUAAGUCUGCUGUGAAAGCCCAGGGCUCAACCCUGGAACGCCGGUGGAUACUGUCGAGCUAGAGUCCGGAAGAGGCGAGUGGAAUUCCUGGUGUAGCGGUGAAAUGCGCAGAUAUCAGGAGGAACACCAAUGGCGAAGGCAGCUCGCUGGGACGGUACUGACGCUGAGGAGCGAAAGCAUGGGGAGCGAACAGG
rnacentral:misc_RNA from 1 species